rnacentral:miRNA from 1 species
CGCAAGAACAUAAAACUACCU